UACGGGGGGGGCAAGCGUUGUUCGGAAUUACUGGGCGUAAAGGGCGCGUAGGCGGUCAGCACAAGUCAGUUGUGAAGUCUCCGGGCUUAACUCGGAAAGGUCAACUGAUACUGUGCGACUAGAGUGCGGAAGGGGCAACUGGAAUUCUUGGUGUAGCGGUGAAAUGCGUAGAUAUCAAGAGGAACACCUGCGGCGAAGGCGGGUUGCUGGGCCGACACUGACGCUGAUGCGCGAAAGCCAGGGGAGCGAACGGG
rnacentral:rRNA from 1 species